AUGCUACUUAAAGGGUGUAGCCUACCUUUUUAUAAAUAAAUAAAUAAGAGGUAAGCUACACCCUUUAAGUAGCAUACUCAGUUU
rnacentral:miRNA from 1 species